rnacentral:rRNA from 1 species
GUGUCAGCAGCCGCGGUAAUACAGAGGGGGCAAGCGUUGUUCGGAAUUAUUGGGCGUAAAGGGUGCGUAGGCGGUGCGGUAAGUCUUCUGUGAAAUCUCCGGGCUCAACUCGGAGCCUGCAGGAGAAACUGCCGUGCUUGAGUAUGGGAGAGGUGAGUGGAAUUCCUGGUGUAGCGGUGAAAUGCGUAGAUAUCAGGAGGAACACCUGUGGCGAAAGCGGCUCACUGGACCAUAACUGACGCUGAGGCACGAAAGCUAGGGGAGCAAACAGGAUUAGAAACCCUGGUAGUCC